rnacentral:rRNA from 1 species
UACAGGGGGUGCAAACGUUGCUCGGAAUCAUUGGGCGUAAAGCGCACGUAGGCGGUCUGUUAUGUCGGAUGUGAAAGCCCUUGGCUCAACUGAGGAAGUGCAUCCGAAACUGGCAGGCUAGAGUACUAAAGAGGAUCGCGGAAUUCCCGGUGUAGAGGUGAAAUGCGUAGAUAUCUGGAGGAAUACCGGUGGCGAAGGCGGCAUCCUGGACCGACAUUGACGCUGAACGGCGAAAGCUAGGGGAGCAAACGGG